CUGCCGGGCUGGCGGCGGGUGGCGGAGCGGAGCCCCCUCCGCGGCUGCGGAAGGUCUGCCCGCGCCCCGCCGUGUCCCGCAGCGCUGCGGAACGCGGGGAAGGAGUUUGCGGUUUCGGUGGAAUUUCUCUGGCACUGUGUUUUUCGUGGCAGGCGGAAACUCGUCCACACGCGGGUCCCCGCGCAAUGCCUCUCGCAGCAUCCGGCGUUGAAAUGGUUACCUUUAGCAGUAAGGCUGCACAGGAACCACUCCGAGUUCUUACUAAUUCAAUUAGUCAGGUUUCCAGAAGGUGGGGUUGAAUAUUUUUUUGGCAUGGAGGAGGAGAAGCCCGGGACGACGCCUCCCUUCUCAUGUUGCAAGCCAAUCAGGUCGAGGUGUAAAAAAAAAAAAAAAAAACCAAAAAAAACCAAAAAAAAGGAAAAUAAAAAAAAAAGGUUAAAAAAAAGGGAAUCUGUAAGCAAACAGCAGGCUAUGUCCUGACUGGCUGCGUCGGCAAAUCCCCCCCUUUCCAAAGUAAACUGCAUGCAAAAAUCCCACAUGACCAAGCAGCAGCGCCCGUGUUUCGAGCUGGCUGCUUGCACCUCCUCCUCGUCUUCAUUCCUUACGCACACCGGCGCCAGAUCGGACCCUCGCGUGUGCAUGUAUGUACGCGUGCUCUGUGUGGGUGUAUAUGUGUGUGUGUGUGUGUGUGUGUGUGUGUGUGUGUGUGUGUGCGUGCGUACCUCGCUAUACCGCGUAUACAUCUCUGCGGCUGCCUGUCGCACACACGCAUGCACAGAGAGCUCAGCACGCCAGGCUCCUAGCUUUUCCAGGUUGCUGAUGUCGGAUUUACACGCAGUGAAGGGACCGGUCAUUGCAAAAGGGGGCGUGACUGUUUAAAGAUUUUUUUCCUCCCAUAAAGCAUUUUUUUUUUCCCAAACUGACUUUUGCCCCUCCAAUCCUCGUCGCUCUUUACGAUCCCUCCCUGCCUGCCGCUGCAUUCAAGUUUAUUUAUUUCCCUGCUGGCGUGGUAUAUUUUUCCUUGCUGCUCUUGCUACUGCUUCAGAGGAAAAAGGGGAGCAGCUGUUGGGCAAGACCGAGAAGAUCUCGGGUGAAGUUGAUGUUCACGGGACUGGACCCUGCUUUAUCUCAGAGAGGCUCCGAGAGGCUGAAUCAGGAGAUUUCCGCACCUCGCCGUAUCACUCCAUUCGUUUCCCGAGCAGGAGAGGCCAGCCAAGACCAGCAUCACCAGAGGAGUUUGCAGGCUUGAUUUUACACUUCUCCGAGAUUUUGCUUUUCUCCACGCCCUCUCAUAAAACAAUUUUUUUUUACUUUCAUCUCCUUGGUUUCCACGCCGCUAUAUUUCUUGGAUUGGCCGGUUUGUUUUUUUUUUUUUUCCCCCCCCCCCCCUUUUUUUUUUUUUUUUUUUUGGCCUUUGCUGUUGCUCCGUCCUUGGUGCAUCCACCGCCCAGGAACAGGAAGGACAAGAAAACCACUCCACAAAGUCUCCUUCAAGACACUCGGUGCUGCAUAACAGGCUUCUCAACUCCAUCAGCUCAGCAAGCAAACUCCUCAGGGCUUUUGCUUCUUCCCCCCUCUUCCCCUCCCCCCCUCCCUUUUUUUUUUUUCCUGUUUUUGUUUGUUGCUCAUUUGCGGGGAGCGGAGGGCCAGAAAGGAAGACACAAACUUUGUGCUUUGACAUCUGCGGGUACUUCUCCUCCCGCUCCCAGCCGGCGGCCUUUUAUAUAUUGCCAGGACCUCCCGUGGGCUUCUAGGGGAAAGAUCUUCCUCGUUCCCACUCUUCUUCCCCGUCUCCCGCUCGUUCGCUCCUUCCAUCCCCGCACACUCCGGCCGUCAGCGCCGCUGGGGCCGCUCGCAGGGGGCGGAGGAAGCGCCGCUCUCGCCCGCCCGCCGCGCCGGCGGGCCGGUGUAUGUCGUGCCGUGGGCUCGGUGCGGAACUCCCGGUGA
ensembl:lncRNA